rnacentral:tRNA from 1 species
GUUUUAAUAGCUCAGUAGGUAGAGCAAAGGACUGAAAAUCCUUGUGUCGACAGUUCGAAUCUGUCUUAAAACA